GGCCGGUUAGCUCAGUCAGUUAAGCGUGGUGCUAACAACGCUAAGGUUGCGGGUUCGAUUCCCGUUCGGUCC
rnacentral:tRNA from 1 species